ACGUAGGGUGCAAGCGUUGUUCGGAAUCAUUGGGCGUAAAGCGCGUGUAGGCGGCCUGUUAAGUCUGAUGUGAAAGCCCGGGGCUCAACCCCGGAAGUGCAUUGGAUACUGGCAGGCUAGAGGACGAGAGAGGAAAGUGGAAUUCCUGGUGUAGGGGUGAAAUCCGUAGAUAUCAGGAGGAACACCGGUGGCGAAGGCGGCUUUCUGGCUCGUCUCUGACGCUGAGACGCGAAAGCGUGGGGAGCAAACAGG
rnacentral:rRNA from 1 species